AGAGCCCAGGGUGGGGAAUAAGGCAGAAAAGAGAUGUAAAGGAGAGCGAGCUGGCUGCUGUGAUGUGGUCCUGUCGCGGGCAAGGCUCCGGGAGUGAGUGAGCCUGCAGGACGUGGUCACAUCACGUCUGCACCAAGGUCGCAUCACCGAGACUGUGCACAGGGACCUGGACCCACCCACGCACAUGCUCCUCCAUGGAUUGAAGAGGGAAGGUUCCCGGGAACAGACUCUCCAGGAGAUUUCAAAGCUUCCAUCCCAGCCGGGUGGACCAGAAUCUUCCAUCCUGGUUAUCCGCCCUCCUGCCCAUUGAGGUGGCUGUCACCCUGUGAGGACCACGAGACGCCGUCAGGAGGGAACAGCGAAGUGACCUAAAUCUCUGGCUGGAGGAGGCGCAUCCUAUGCUCGCUCUCCCGUAGCUGGUGCUGCAGAUGAGCCAGGGCGCCCUGUGUGUCCUGGUUUACGGAGCAGAAGGUACGGUCACCCACGAAACCGUCAGGGACCUCUCUGCACCCAGGGCAGGUUCUAAGGCAUGAAAGAUCAAUUCUGUGGAGACUCCUUGGCCCCAGAGCUGCUGGGGAAUCUGCCAGAGAGCCCAUGGUUUCCAUAGAAACUACGGAUGAGUUUAGCAUGAGUCCCCGUCCUGCCACUCAGGUCCUAGAAGAAAGAUCAGUAGCAGGGGGGCGAUCGCUGGGCUAGGGCUCCCUGCCCCCGGCUGUGAGCGGACCAAGCCCGUCGGGAUGAGGCCCACGGGGAGGAGACGGGCCCUUCUCC